GGUUGAUCUUGCCAAUAGCCAUAUGCUUGUCUCAAAGAUUAAGCCAUGCAUGUGUAAGUAUGAACUAAUUCAGACUGUGAAACUAUGAAUGGCUCAUUAAAUCAGUUACAGUUUGUAUGAUGGUAUCUACUACUCGGAUAACCAUAGUAAUUCCAGAGCUAAUACAUGUAACAAACCCCGACUUUUGGAAGGGAUGCACUUAUUAGAUAAAAGGUCAAUGCGAGCUAUGCUCGUUGCUCUGAUGAUUCAUGAUAACUUGAUGGAUCGCAUGACCUUCGUGCCGGUGACGCAUCAUUCAAAUUUCUACCCUAUCAACUUUUGAUGGUAGGAUAAUGGCAUACUAUGGUGGUGACGAGUGACAGAGAAUUAGGGUUUGAUUUCAGAAAAGGAGCCUGAGAAAUGGCUACCAAAUCCAAGGAAGGCAACAGGUGCACAAAUUACCCAAUCCUAACACAGGGAGGUAGUGACAAUAAAUAACAAUAUCGGGCUCUAUGAGUUUGGUAAUUGGAAUGAGUACAAUCUAAAUCCCUUAACGAGGAUCCAUUAGAGGGCAAGUCUGGUGCCAGCAGCCACAGUAAUUCUAGCUCCAAUAGCAUUUAUUUAAGUUGUUGCAAUUAAAAAGCUUGUAGUUGGAAAUAGGGUUUGGUCGUUUAGUCUACCUCACGGUGAGCACCGGUCUGCUCGUCCUUACUGUCGGUGAUGCGCUCCUAGACUUAAUUGCUUGAGUCAUUCCUCUAGUGCUGUUACUUUGAAAAAAUUAGAGUGCUCAAAACAGGCCUACGCUUGUAUACAUAUGCAUGGGAUAACAUCAUAGGAUUUUGGUCCUAUUGUGUUGGCCUUCGGGAUCGAAGUAAUGACUAACAAGAACAGUCGAGGGCAUUUGUAUUUCAUAGUCAGAGGUGAAAUUCUUGGAUUUAUGAAAGAUGAACAACUGCGAAAGCAUUUGCCAAUGAUGUUUUCAUUAAUCAAGAAUGAAAGUUGGAGACUCGAAGAUGAUCAAAUACCGUCCUAGUCUCAACCAUAAACGAUGUCGACCAAAGAUCGACGGAUGUUUCUUUUAGAACUCUGCCAACACCUUAUGAGAAAUCAAAGUCUUUGCGUUUCGGGGGGAGUAUGAUCGUAAGGCUGAAACUUAAAGGAAUUGACGGUAGGGCACCACCAGGAGUGAAGGCUGCAGCUUAAUUUGACUCAACACGGGGAAACUUACUAGGUCCAGACAUAGUAAGGAUUGAUAGACUGAGAGCUCUUUGUUGAUUUUACUGGUGGUGGUGCAUGGCCAUUCUUAGUUGGUGGAGCGAUUUGUCUGGUUAAUUCCAUUAACGAACAAGACCUCAACCUGCUAACUAGCUACGCAGAGGUGAUCUUUCGUGGCUAGCUUCUUAGAGGGACUAUGGCCACUUAGGCCAAGGAAGUUUGAGGCAAUAACAAGUCUGUGAUGCCCUUAGAUGUUCUGGGCCGCAUGCUUGCUACACUAAUGUAUUCAAUGAGUCUAUAGCCUUGGCCGAUAGGCUAGGGUAAUCUUUGAAAUUUCAUCAUGAUGGGGAUAGAUCAUUGCAAUUAUUGGUCUUCAACGAGGAAUUCCUAUAAGCAUAAGUCAUCAGCUCGCGUUGACUACGUACCUACCCUUUGUAGACACCGCUCAUCACUCCUACCAAUUGAAUGGUCUGUUGAAGUGUUUGGAUCAUAGCGACGUGGAUAGUUCACCGCCUACGACGUUGUGAGAAGUCCAUUGAACCUUAUCAUUUAGAGGAAAGAGAAGUCGUAACAAGAUUUCUGUAGGGGAACCUACGGAAG
rnacentral:rRNA from 1 species